UUUUCUUUGUCUUCCUCCUUUAAACAACUGCUCACCUUCUCCCACCAAAGCCAUACCUAACAGCCGUCCCCAACAACCAUGCCUCACCACUCCAACAACCACUCCGUCCUUCUCCGAUGCCAUGUUGCCGCCCAUUCCUGCAGUAAGGUGUUAGGGAUUUGGACUUUUGUAAGCAGCCCUCUUUCUCUCUUGCUUAUGUUAGGAUUUUUAGAAGGGAUUAGAGCUUUGAUGGAGGGUGGAGAGGAAGCUUGUGGAGGAGCUGGGUAACCGAACCUUAGGAUAUUUCAAGAAGGGAUGAUCUUGUCUUUGAGUGUGAGUUAAAAUUUGAAGACAUCCAGGAAUAGGUGUGAGUGGUGGCAGCUUAGCGUCUUGGGUCAAGUUGUCUUCAAGUGCUAACAGGUUCUGAGGCCUUGCAUGUUCACUUGGUCUCGGCCUUGUGGGUAUGCGGCCGUUUGUCGGUGCACCGAGUUUGGGGCGUGACAAACUCAAAUGCUAAGUACCCUUAAGGACCUCUAGGCUAUGGAGACGCAAUCUCAGCCUCACAAAAAGGUAACGUGAAACCUAUUAACUAAGGAUGUUAUAUGACUAGAGCAAAACGAACAAAUUUUUUAUCACACGGCUCUACUGCUACUUUCAAUCUUCUUUGUACACUAAUACUGCACCAUUUACUUGCUAUUUUAUAGAGAAUGAAUAACCCACACAUGGAAUUAUAUAGAUUAUUUUUCAGGGAAAUCUCCUACUACUUUUGUUUGCAAGUCUUUGGCAAGUAUUCUCAGUGUGGUCCUUGCUUUGAAAUAUAACAUCCUAUUGCUUCUCCCUUUUCCUUGACCUUACAUACAUAUUAUACAGUCACACACAUCCUUUUCUUCUUAUCUUAAUCUUCUUAGAGAUAUCAUGCCCUCUUUCACUUCUACUCCAACUUCCGCAUAUCGCUACACAAUAGUGUUGCCAAAGCCUGUGCUAUUUUUAGUAAGUGUUGUAGAUGGCUUAUGGCUGGCUAUCACAAAAGCUCUCUUCCAACUUGGCCUGGUUUCAUCACCAACUACACUGCUUGCUCCUCCAUGGGACCAUGUUUAUGUCUCAAAUGUCACCAUGCACCAAGCUAAUAACAACCUCCUCAUUGAUCUUCCUAUUAUCAAGUUCUCAAUGCUCCACCAGAGUUGCAAAGAAGCCAAAGAUUAUGAAGAUGAUGAAGCUUUGUCUCUAGUGUGCUUGAGAAAGUUGGAGGAGAAGGAUGAAGUGAGAGAGCUUAGCAACUUCUCUCAUGUCUUCCACAAGGAGUGCAUAGACAAAUGGAUGAAUUUAGAGCAUCCACUUGCCCUUUGUGUAGAUCUCAGUUGUUGCCUUCAAAGGGCAAGAAGAGUUUAAGAAAUCAUUUCUCAAAGUACAAUGGAGCAAGUGUAAUUGAUUAAGGUUUACUAAAAGGACAUUGAUGUUGCUGCGUUUCCUAUCUUAUUCCUAUAUUUUUGUACAUAUGUUGCCUUCUUGCAGGCUUGAUGAA